rnacentral:rRNA from 1 species
UGACAUGUACGGAACUUGCCAGAGAUGGCUUGGUGCCCGAAAGGGAGCCGUAACACAGGUGCUGCAUGGCUGUCGUCAGCUCGUGUCGUGAGAUGUUGGGUUAAGUCCCGCAACGAGCGCAACCCUUGUCAUUAGUUGCCAUCAUUCAGUUGGGCACUCUAAUGAGACUGCCGGUGACAAACCGGAGGAAGGUGGGGAUGACGUCAAGUCCUCAUGGCCCUUAUGAGCAGGGCUUCACACGUCAUACAAUGGUCGGUACAGAGGGUUGCCAAGCCGCGAGGUGGAGCUAAUCU